rnacentral:rRNA from 1 species
UACGUAGGGUGCAAGCGUUGUCCGGAAUUAUUGGGCGUAAAGGGCUCGUAGGCGGUUUGUCGCGUCGGGAGUGAAAACCUACAGCUUAACUGUGGGCUUGCUUUCGAUACGGGCAGACUUGAGGCAUGCAGGGGAGAACGGAAUUCCUGGUGUAGCGGUGAAAUGCGUAGAUAUCGGAAGGAACGCCGGUGGCGAAAGCGGCGUGCUGGAUCUUCACUGACGCUGAGGCGCGAAAGCCAGGGGAGCAAACGGG